UCACAGUUAUAAAAAUGUCAUAAAAUAAGGCCACGAAUGAAAUUAUCUUUAGGUAUGAAAUAACUUAUUCAUAGAUGAAGGUAGAUUGUAUUGCUAGCUUUUACUGAGCAAGGGAUUUGCAGAUUGUCUCUGGGAUAAUUUGGUAACUGCUAUCUUGGGUUGUUUUCUGUCCUUUGGAUGUGUGUCUAUAGUCUCUAAAACUCUUUCGAUUUUAGCUGGAACAUCCACUCUCGUGGCUCCAAAGCAGAGCUAAUCUGCUUUUCUGCUUCACAACCUUCAUCUGUGUUUUUGUUUUGCCUCAGCAAGUGAAGGAAAAAGAUCAGGGCAUGAAUCUCUCACUCCAUUAGAAGGAUGCAUUUCCACUUUCAUCCAAUUAGCUGCUGUAAUUUGAAGCUUUGGGGGCCUGCUGAUAAGGUGGGAGGCUGGCAGAAGCAAGGCCCGCAGAAAGCUUUCCGAGGGCACACAAAUGAUCUCCCAUUUUUCCUGGGAAAACUCCAGCACCGAAAAACUGUGAGAAGUAACUAUGCAAGGAAGAUUCUUUCCACAAAGAGAAAACUCGUGGACUCGGAAUAUCUAGUCAAUUGCUUCUGAGAGCAAGGAUGGGCUUGGCGAAAUGGAGAAGUCAGAUAACACACUUGGGAUUGGAAUGUGGAUACACAAUACAGAAUGGCCAGCCAGUGCUCGAAUCUCCCUGGCCAAGAUAAUUGGUUCAUGCUCGGACAAAGGACUCACCAGAGACAAAAGAGGCAGAGGCAGAGGACGAGGAGAUCAGAAAAAACAGGAAGGCAUUUUGCAGGAUUUGCAAUAGCUCCGUUCAGAAGCAAUGAAUGUCUGAGACAGAGCGUGACAAUGAGGAGGAAAUCAGCAGCAGCCCAGAGUUAUCUGAAGGUCACUGGACAGUGCUAAGAGACAAGACGUCCAGGGAGACUGGGGACGUCAUAUGUAUUUGACAAAGCCUCUAUCAGCCUGGUUCUCCUAGUGACUAUGUUAGGGAAGAACAUUCCUCCCUAUCAUCACCAACCCUGAUGACGUGAAAUUGUCCCGGGCUGCCAGUUUCCUAUCAACGGGAUUACCACUUGGGUGCUGCAGGCAUGGCAUUUCCUCAUUGAGAAGUGGAGUCUAUUUCUUUCUCCUUUAAUCUGGAAUGAUCUUAGUGACUUGGAUUGAUACUGUUAUAUUGCAAAAGAGAUGUUCUGGAACUUUCAAUAGCAUCUUUGGAGAAAUCCAGUGACCAGGGAAGAAGUCCAGCAAUCCUGCGGCUACCCUGCUGUGAGAUGCCAUAGUGUUGUGAAGAUAUCUUAAAGGUGAGGUUGAGAUGCCAUGGAGAUGGAGAUAGAAACAAGAGGUAGGGAGAGAGAGAGAGAGAAAGACAGGGAGAGACCAGGUAGCACCAUGGCGCCAGGUGUGUGAGUGAAGAAGCCACCUUGGAAGUGGUUCACCAGGCCCAGCUGCUCCAGCUGAUGCCUAACACACAAAAGCAUCUUGUUUACAUCUUUAUAUAGCCCCCUACCCUUGACUCUAGGCUGAUCUGUAACUCAUUCUUGGUCGAUAAAAUGUGGCAGAAGUGAUACUGAGGCUAGAAGCCUUGAAGCUUUUGCCUGAGCCUCUUGUCAUGCUUAGUUGUCUUCCUCUGCCUCUUGAAGUCCAGCUGCCAUGAUAUGGGAAGCCCAAGCCCUAUGGAGGCCAUGCGUAGGCACUCUGGCUUAAAGUUCCAGGUAAGCUUCCAGCAGAUAGCCAGCAUCAACUGCCAGCCACAUGAGUGGGUCGUGUUGGUCUUUAGCCCAGUCAAGUUUCGGAUGGCUACAUACCCAUCUGAUAUGAAAGAUCUCAACUGACAAUUGCUUAGCUUGGUCCAGUUAGCACCAGGAGUUCAAAAGGUAAUAAUUAAUUGUUGUUUUAAACCACCACAUUUUGGGGCUUUGUAUUUGCAGCAAUAGAUAACUGGAAGAUAAACCAUAGCAACUAGUGUUUAACUUGGAAAAAUGCAGUGUAGAACCUAAUGUAUCAGAAGAAAAACAUUUGAAAAAUUAAAAUGUAGCAUGCCAAAGGGUGCGUGGGUGGCUCAGUCAGUUGAGGGUCCAACUUCAGCUCAGGCCAUGAUCUCACGGUUCAUGAGUUUGAGCUCCGCGUCAGGUCUGUGCUGACAGCUCAGAGCAUGGAGCCCACUUCAGAUUCUGUGUCUCCCUCUCUCUGCCCCUUCCUUACUCACACUCUGUCUCUGUCUCAAAAAUAAACAUUAAAAAAAUAAUAAAUAAAUAAAAUAAAAUGUAGCAUGCCAAGUACUGAAAGGCAAAUGAAUUCUCUUAGGCUAUUAGGAAAUCAUUUGUGAAUUAUCUAAUUAUUAUUGAUCGUGAUCUUAUUUCAACUUUGGAUGAUAUCCUCCCCUUAAGUCAUUUUGAGAAGGGAAGAUACUGAAAUUCUAGUAUAAGGAGGGGUAUAAUUCUACCACAAGACACAGAAAUGUACAUCAAAUGCCUCUCUUCCGCAUGUGUUAGUACUCAAAACAUCAGUCAAUCCACCAACAAAUAAAAGUUUAAUGACCCCUAUAUAUGACAUAUAUAUGACAUAGUCCCUGUUUUCAGGUUCCCAAAACAUUUCCUAAUAAGGUCUUUGUAGGCAGUGGGUGGGAAAACACAAAGCCUUGAGCAGGAAGAAACUGUACAGCCUAUCACAGGGUCUGGAAUAUUAGUUCCUUACUAAUUCUGUUGGAUAAAUCAUGUGGGAAAUCAGUGCCCAAUGCUGGUCACUAACUCAAAGCCAGGUGCGGCUUUACCUUCUAAAGCUCUAAAGGAUGAUAUAUGCCUCAGGGGCCUGCCUGUAAGUCUGAAAAUUCUUCCAUCAGUGUCAGGAUCAGGGAGGUCAGAAUUAAGUGUUACCUGUGUGUAUAUAUUAUCUGAAAUACAUAUUUUAUAUAAUUAUAAAUCUAUGUAUGAAUGUAUAUAUGUGUGUAUAUAUCAAUAUGUAUAUAUAUGUAUGUCUGUAUAAAAUCUUGCCUCCCUCUUGUUCUCCUUUCAUUUUGUGCAAGGUAAUGUGUUAGACAUUAUAGGGUUUAUAUAAACGUCUGUUUCUAGCUUGAGGUCUUCAAAGUGCCCAAGACUCUAAUUUACUCAAUCCUCCCUUUUUUAAAAGGUUGAGAUAAAAAGUAUACUGUGGCGUAGUUUAAAGUUCAGGAGGAAGGAUCUUCAAUAGAUACAAAGUAGCAUGAAAUAAAAUAAGCCUAAGCACUUUACUGCGCUAUGGAAUUCUUAUGUGGAUACUAAGACACAGAGACACAGGGACUGCUCCCAAGCACGGGCAAGUGGGUAAUGUAUGCCCAGAGGAUCGGAAGACCCAACUCUCCACCUUGUCUGACACUUUGCAGGAAUUCCAUCAUUAGAAGCAUUUCUUUGGGAUUAGCAUUUUAUUCAUCAGACAUAUGUUCACAAAUACGUUGCCCAAAGAGAGUAAAGUAACUGCUGGGAAAUCAACAGAGAGUGACAUCGUGGAUACAGGGGAGGUGACUGAGGUGAGGAUCAAGAAUGGAGAGGUGAGGCUGCAAGCAUUGGGGGCCUGUGGGAGAAAAUGAAGGCUCUACCUAGGAACUCCAGUCUGGGGCUGUGGGUGCUGGGGCAGCAUGAUGGGAGGAGGGAGAACACCUUGUGCAACUACUACGCACAUUUGCUCCAAAGUUGCUCUCAGCUGGAGAAUCAGACCGAAUAAUUAUAGUGAGUCCCUCAAGAUAGGAACACAGGACAGGGGGACGGAGUGGUGGAAGACACAGGGAGAAGCAGACACAGGGCGAGAAAGUUCUACUUCAAUCUGUGUCCCCAUCUCCCACAUUCACAGACAGGCCUAACUUUUGCUUUAAUAAGAGGGUUUUUUAAAAUCUGCUAGAACUUUUUAUAUUAUUUUCGUUUGCUGACCAUAGCUGUAACCUCAGGGAGGAGUUGCUUCCCCUUUGUAGCUAUGGUCUGUCUGUGCCUACCAAGGUAGAAAAGACAGAAACUAGUCUUGCAAAGAGAAUCUGAGGAUACUCUCCUGACCCCACCAUUGCCUCCAGCUUCAUAGAGUAGCAAAGCAAUGUUUUAAGCUCAGGUCAAAGGGUUACCCGUUUAUACAGAGCCUCUCUGAUCCCCAUAACGGCCCAUUUCUCACAACAAGUAGUAGACUGGUGACAGGAGAUACAGGAUGAACAAGCCUGCCCUCCGAGCAGAGGACACUGCCCUAUCAGCACCGGCUCUGCUUCCAAGUAGAUCCAAGUGUUCUUGACAUUUGGCAGCAAAGAUAGUAAUCCACCUCCAACAAUUAGACAGUAUCAGGAAAAUCCAAGGUUACAUGAAAACCAGGGACCUCAUUUCUAUCUGACUAUAAAUACCAUAUACAUUAAAGAAAAAAUGGGAGAUGUACCUGGACUUAAAUGAUCCACCAAAAAGUCAGUGCCAAAGGAAAGAAGGGAAUAUAGUUCUUAGAAUUUUUUUGGUUGCCAUGACAGAUUCCUAAUUAGCUUAAUGAAAAUAGGGACCUUUUCUUCAAAUGCCAGGGGUCUCGUGGAAUCCAAGAACAGAAUUGCACAUGGGUUCCAGGAACAACUGGAACUAACAAUAAAACUCAUCACAACCAUCUCUGUCUUCAUUUUUCACUUAGUCCUCUCAAUUUCUUUCUCGCUUUUUUCUUUCUUCAAAUUGGCUGCCUCCAUUUCUCCUGAAUACCAUGUGGAAACAUAGUCAUGGAGUACACAGCUUUAAAGUAUAUGCCAUAGGCGAUGGAAAAGUACCGGCUUGAAGCUCUGGCUUCAAGGCCAACAACGGUAGAAGGGGUUCCUAUUGGCUUACCUCAGGUCAAGGGUCACAGCUAGGGUCAUGGGGCUAGAGCCACACAGCAUAGAGGGGAUGCUCCCGAGGUAACUGUAUGCAUGAUGACCAUGUGGGUGGGAGUGAGGGAACAGGGGUCACAGCCUCGGGAAAAACCAAAGAACCAGGCAGGCCAACAAUGUGGCCAACACAGAAACCUUAAUGCAGCACAGCGGACCUAAAUGCAGGUUUGGGCAUGACGUGGCCACUGUGAGACCAUUUCUCUGAGAACUGGCUGCCCCCCAAUCCUGCUUAAAUGUCCCUCUACUUGGAGCAACAGAGACCCUUGUUUAAUCGUGACGCGACUUCACCUAAAUCCUCACUGACAACACGGAAGUAUUCCUCCCAUUAGACCUUUCUCUCUUACGUCCCAGACAUCAUAGUCUCACCUGCUCUCAGAAUGACCUCUGGGGAGAGAAUGGCAGUGAAUGACAAUACGGCCCCCCUUACCUUCAGACUUCCCCUUUGCAGCCAUCAGAGCUCUCUUGACUUUUCAUUUAGCAUUUCCUGGGACCGAGGGAAGAAGUGUAGGAGUAGGUGGCACAGAGAACCACUUUUGCUACCAGCAAGUGCUGUAGAUUUGCGGGGAUGUUUCAUCAUCCAUGGAAACCAUUUGUUUAAGCAAUUAGGAAUUUGGGUCUAGGGCAUUUGUAGGGAUUAAUGACCAGGUGGUAAACACUGACUGCUUACAGCCUUGUCAAGGGCUGUUUAGCAGCAGGAAAUGACCUGCUUCAAGGUGACUGAUGACAUUUAGUUGGAAAAUUAGAUGAACAAGAGCACACACUCACUUUGAGUGACUCAAGGAUGACAAUAUAGUGAAAGCUUUCCUUGGGCAAGGCUAGCUUCUCGGUUCGCCAUUUGAAGCAUUUUGCCCUUGGUUGUAGACACAGAGGUCCUCUCUGUAAACAUUCUUUUCUUUUAGUGGACCAUAGAGAACUGAAAUCAUGAAAUGAGAAAAAUAUCUGCAUCACUGUUGUGUAGAUAUUUAAUCCUAAAAUUCAGCACAAAUAUGAGGUUAUGUGAUGCAGUGGAAAGAAUAAUAGGCCAAAAGUUGGGGCCAGAAUUCUAGACCUGACUGUCAUUCCUUACCUUUGUGACCAUGAAGAAGUCAUCUCACUUCUAAGUUUAUUUGUGUCCCAAAUAAAGCAAGUGAUCUCAAAGGUACUCCUAGCUCUGUCAUUUUGUAAGUAUAGCUGUGGACUAUGAUCAUCAAGUUACCUGGAGAAAAUGUGAUGCAGUCAGCAAUAUGAUUUUGUACUUGUUGAGUGUUAUUUUUUUUCUAAUGCAGUCAAAGAUUCUGCAUAUGCUGGUCACAUGGGAUACUCAACAACUUAUUUUGGUGACGGAGUGAGAUGCCUGUGAAAUACUAUGCUUCUACUCUUGCCAUUCCUGUCUCAGAACCCGAUGUGCCCACCCUCUUGGUACUCUUCAUCUGGUCUUGUUCAUAGAAUGCCCUUAACGUUAACAAAUCAGAAAGGGUAAGCCAUAAGCCCACCAUUACUGGGAAAUUUAUAGUUCAUGGCUGCCAGAUUUGAAAAAGGGUUUUGAAUGAUGGGGUGGGCUCUUGACAAAGGCAAUUGCCCUGGGUGAAGCUCACAGGGCUGGAAGGGAAAGUUGUGGCAACGGUACCUUCAUGCUUAGGUUACAAUGGACAGGCAGGACAAGAAAAACAGCCUCUUGUUGGAAAAGGCAAGUCAGGAGCUAAAGUUUCUUUGUGGCAUCAGGAUGAUGAAAUUAUCUUCAAAGAACAGUAUUUUCCAACCAAGAAUGCAUUUGGGGCAUCCAAAGCCAUAAAUCGAUAGGUAUUUUAUAGAGCACUAUGAACACUUAACUCACCUGAAGCCCACAAUAGCUCUGUGAAGGGGGUUGUUAUCGCCAUCUAUCAACGAGAAAAUUGAGGCUUACCUGGGAUAAAUAAUGUUCCCAAGGUCAUGCAGCUGAGCUCACACACUAUUCCUUGCCUGAUUCCAGAACAUACCAUACUGUUUCUCCAGGGGGAAACAUAGGGCAGAUAAUCUGCCUCCAAAUAAUUAGGAGCGAACGAUGAAUUGAUGCAUUUAAUUUUAACCCCAAAUGGAAGCUAACGCUUAAAUGUUGUUCACUGUGCACCAGCUACUUUUUCAGUGCUUUCCAUAAAUGAACUGGCUUAAUGCUUACUAUGUGCCUUGGACAUGGUUACUAUUAACUUCAUUCACCUAGUGAAAGGGAGUCACGUAGCAGUUGAGUAACUAAUCCAAGAUUCCACAGCCAGCAACUGGUAGUUUUAAAGCCUCAUGAUGAUCUGUCCCUGUUGAUUUUGGAAGGUAAAGAAUAAAAAAGAACACCUUGGGAUUGGCUGUAAGACCAAGGGAGGUUUAACCUCCAUACCACGUGGUUUAAUUCUCACAAGGGGGAACAGGCCAGUGAAAAGAGAAUAUGAGUUUUCUCUGUGAUCCCAGCCUCAGCUGGAGAGGCUACAGGGCAGGUACCCAGCCUGCUCUUGCUCUGAAACAGUGGGAUUCACCUCUGGCAAGGGAAGCAAAGGACAGAAACAUAAGCUGCCAUCAAUUGAUUUCUUUUUAAACAUUAGAGGGGGAAAAAAUAGGCAGAUGAUAACUCAGCACUUUAAAGCUUUGCAGAUUGGGACGGUGUUUGUUAGUCAAAUUGCUAGGAUAAAGUAGGCAGAGUUAGACGGAGCAAAGGAGGAUACCUGGAGGUCAUUACAUGCUGUGUAUCUUGACUGCCGCAGCUACUGCUCUAACUCGUUAAAAUUUUCCCAAAGGUAAUGAAAUCAAGAGGGAGGAAUCUCCACAGAGUGGAAAGAGCCUGGGGCUGAAGAUGGAACAAUUUCUUAGCAACCUUAUUGACAUUAGGUUCUGUAUGAAUCAACAUCCCAAUAUGGUUACAAAAAGAGAAAAGUGGGCACAGCUGUCUUGGCCCUGUCAGAUAAAAAGUACACAGAACAGAGGAUGUGAGACGUGAUGGUUCCAUUUUAUUCUGUGUCGGUCAGAGCCCACCUGGCAUAGGAUAUCAGGUCUGGACAUCAUGUUGAGAGAGAGUACAGCUGGGGCAGAGCCAGUAGAAUGCGUGCAACCGUUAGGCCCAAAGAGAAGGGAAAAUUCUGACCGGGGAAGGGCUGAGGUUGGAGCAGAAGCUGUCCCAGAGAUAUGAGAGAAAAGGUGUGGAUCUUGGGCAACUGGCAGAUGACACUUCCUAGAAAAUCAAGAAGAAAAACCUAUCACCAUUCAGAGCAGGAACACUUUCUGCAAGAAAGUAUUCUUGUUAGUUGCAUUUUUCUAUAAUAACCAGAAAUUAGUUUUCCCUGACUACCCUUUUACAUUGCACUCCCACGUGACCUCUUUCUCUAGCCCACAUCCCUACUUAGUUUUCCUCUAUGGUCUUUAUCAAUGCUUAUUUAUGAUCUCCAUCUAUUAGAAAUUACACUCACAACGACAUUCAUUGUCCAUUGCCUCCUGCUGUAUUCCCACUGUCCACAAUUGUGCCUGACAAAGUGCGUGCUUGGGAAAUAUUAAUCGAAUGAAUGAAUGAAUAAAUGAAUGAGGUAGCAGCAACAGAAAUAGUGAGAUACGAAGAAGACAGGGUGGCACACGUGUCUCACUGCCCGGGUGCUGGAAGCACAGAUGACUCUGACCAUGGGAGAUUAUGAAUGUCCUGUCAGGUGAAGGUUGAGUUAGAUGACCAUUCCUACACUAGUAACUUUAUGAAACUUCAGGAAUAUGAAGGGGAAGGGUGAAAACAGCUUUCUGGACAGAAAAAAAAUUCUAAAAUGAAACUUAAAGUUUUUCACCUGUGAAGGAACUAACAAUCUGGGUGAAAAUGAGCUCUCUAGACUGUUACAAACUUUCUUAGUUUUGGCGGUCUGUGGUGCCAGGAGAGAUUUUGAAAACCUUUAUUUGGAAUAUAAAAACCCAUGUAGAUGUUAGUGGAACGAACCCUCACAGCUGAAGGCUAAAGAUAGAGAAAAGCAGGUGGUAUAGAAGAAGAUGAGGCUCGUGUCUCUGAAGGCUGUGGGAGAGAAUCCUUCUUUCCUUCCCAGCGAGGUUACCAGCAAUCUUUGGCAUUCUUUGGCCUUGUAGAUGCCUCACUUAAUCUCUGCCUCUGUUGUCACAGGGCAUUUGCCUGUGUUUCUGUGCCCAGAUUUCCCACUUUUUUGGGGGGAUGUUUCUUUAUUUUUGAGAGAGAGAGAGAGCACAAGCGACGGAGGGGCAGAGAGAGAGGGGGACAGAGGAUACGAAGCGAGCUCUGCACUGACAGCGGUGAGCCUGAUGUGGGGCUCAAACUCACUAACUGUGAGAUCAUGACCUGAGCUGAAGUCGGAUGCCCAACCACCUGGGCCACCCGGGCACACCCAAAUUUUCCACUUCCUAUAAGGACACCUGUCUCUGGAUCAGGGCCCAUCUUAACCAGAUGAUACCUACAAAGACCCUGCCUCCAAAUAAGGUCACAUUCACAGGUUCUGGGACUUAGGGCAUAAACAUAUCUUUGCGGGGAGGGACACAAUUCUACUCAUAAGAACAUAUCAAAAACACCAAGUUGGGCAUCUGAGGCCUGAAUGAACCAACUUUUCCUGGAUGGUCAAGCCUUGCCUCCUACCCUGCCCUUUGGGGAUAGUGUGUGUAAAAGGAAUAGGGAUCCUCCUACAGUCUCCCUUCCAUAUUCAGAAAUUACAGGAGAGUACACUCUCCUAAACUCUGACCUUUGAGGAAAGUGAACAUAAAAGAAAAUAAAAACAAUUUAACUUCAAAGCUUUGGCUAGGGUCUUUGAGGAGCUAAGGUAUGGCUUUCGAAGGGCAGAUUUCUCUAUAAUGAGAUUGUAGUUAAUAUUGUUGCUUCCCUUUGGAUAAGAAACUAAUGAUGGUGUUCCCGUUCCUUCACCAGUGGUUGUUCAGAUUUCAAGACAUUUGGGCCAAUAUGAUUUAUUUAUUCUUCCUUCAUUCAACAAAUAUCUACUGAGUUUCUAUUCCAUGCCAAAUACUUCUAAAAUGUGGCUACAAAUGCUCUAUGCAGUAGAUGUGACCUCUGUUAUUGGUUUUUAAAUCUCAUCACUGUUAAAAAGAUGUCUAAAAGAACAUGGAGAAAAAUAGCACUUUGUCCAGAAAAUGGUACUAUGCAAAUAAGUUUCAACUGGCAUGUAGAAGGUCUUCAUGGCUACUCUAAAAAUGCUGAGAAUACAGGAGCCGAUAAGGCAAGAUGGACAAGAGGCUUGUUUGAGGUUUCUGCAAAGAAAAGCCAGGGUCCCUCUCCCAUUGGGUGUGAACAUGGGUCUACUGCUGUCACAGUUGCUGACUCUGAGGGUAUGAGCCCUAAGGUAAAGUCAAUGCUUUGUUCAACAGAGCAGAGAGAGGAAAAGAGCUCGAAUCUCUGAUGACAUUGUUGAGUAGCCGACCUAACCAAACCUUAUAUUAGGGCAUUCUGUGUUAUGAGAAAAUAAAUUCUGAAAAUAAACAUUGAAUUAGGUUUGACUUUUGCACUGCUGGUGGGAAUGCAAACUGGUGCAGCCACUCUGUAAAACAGUAUGGAGGUUCCUCAAAAAAUUAAAAAGUGCUACCCUAUGAUCUAGCAAUUGCACUAGUAGGUAUUUAUCCAAAAGAUACAAAAAUGCUGAAGGGGCACAUGCACCCUGAUGUUUAUAGCAGCACUAUCAAUAAUAGCCAAAUU